UUCGAAGUCAAGCACUGGACAGUGAGAAUUACCACUAAGUUCAUCCCUAAAGGAUCAUCAUCUAUGCUACAUUUUCUGUGAAAGAUCUCAGAUGGGAAUUUACACUGUUCCUGUUCAAGCAUAUUCAGAUACCAGGCACUGUGAUCACAGUCCAGAGCUGUGUAUGUGACAUAGGUUUGUCCACUACUCAUAUAAAUCCCAGCAGACAUCUCCAAAAGAAAUCACCAGUCUGAAGUCCAGGAACAUGGAUCACAAAGUUAAUCAGCUCUCUUGAUUUCAGGGGAGAUGCGCCGUGUAACAGAGUGAAUGAAUCUGAAGCCUUCAGACUUCCCCUUUGCUUUUCUGGGGAUAAAUUCAGGCAGAGAAAGGCAAAUCCCUGACUUUUGUUCUCUUCAAAACAAGAAUUAAGAUACAUGUGUUGGAAGAACAUUACUGAAGUCACCCAAAGUCUGGCCAACACAUCGUAGCCAAGGGAGCAGGAUUUUGGAGGAGGACCAAAAGUGUUAUAGAGGCUACUGUUUACACAAUUUCUCCAGCCCUUCCUGCUCUCAAGGAAUCACCAGUUCUCUCAGACCCAGUAGCUGUUGUACAGUCAGCCAUGACAAUUCUACCGGGGAAUCCUGCUGCUGGAGGAAUGUUUGGACCUCUCCCAGUGGAGGCUGACAGGUAUUAUGUCUUCAGAGACUUAGGGAACAUCUUGAAGGUUCAUCUGAGAAGCUUCCCCUUGACACUAGGGAAAAAGAAUUUGAAAAUGUGAUGGGAGAACAGAGAGGAUAAUAAAAAGAGUCUGAGUACAGGAAAAAAAAUAUCAAGGUCAGGUAAAAAUGAAGGGAUGCUGCAGCAGCCAAAAGGUUGGAUAGAUGAAGAAGUCCAGUUGCACAGCCUUGGGAGCUAGUGUACAGUAGCCACACAGAAGCGUGGACAAAUUUUGUCAUUUUAUAUUAUAUGAGAAUUGAUUCAGGGUUUUAGAUAUCAACAGUACCAGGGCAUUGUGUUAUUGUAUGUGUGGUUGAUACAACCUGGAAGACUUUGCAAUAAGGCAGUCACCUCAUCAGCAGUUGUUCUGCACUGGAACGUUGGCUUCACAAUCUGAACUGAUACCUGGUAAGCAAGGAUAAGGGGUAUUGUCAUGGGUUAGCUAGCAUAGGCCCUGAAGUGAUGAUCUUGCAAAGGGGUGCUUACAGCUUCCUCUGUGACCUGACAGGACCUAUCAGCUGGCCAGUUUGAAUAUGGACAAU